AUGAGUAAAAUGCAUCACACAUGCUGCCUUCCUGCUUCCAAAAAAGAAAAAUCCAGCACAGGGGGAAGAAAGCGCCAGCAGCAGCUCUGCAGGCUGGUAGCUCAGGCUCCAGUAAUGAAGUCUUUCUGGAAGAUAAAGAUCUUCUGGUCAAGGCUCCAGCUUGUUGACCUUGUCAGGACUACCAUUCAGUCUGGAAAUUGGCCCCAGAGAGAGAAAGACAUUGUACUGUUGUUAACGGGCUGUUUGGUGGAUUGGGGUUUCUCUUUUCUCCACAGAGAGGAGAUCAGUUUACCAAAAAUAAAUAAAUAAACAAACAAAUAAAUAAAUAGAAACCUUCCCUGAACCAAAAACUGAUUCUUUUUUUUUUCUUUUGCAAAAUUGAAAGGUUGUCCAAGAAGUUUGAUUCACCAGCCUUCUGCCCAACCUGGCCUUUCACCAGUAUGUGUGUCACACACGCACACACACACUUACACACACUCACAGAUGCUCCUGCAGCAGCAAGCUCAUAGCAGCCAGC
rnacentral:lncRNA from 1 species